rnacentral:rRNA from 1 species
CAGCAGCCACGGGAAUACAGAGGGCGCAAGCGUUAAUCGGAAUUACUGGGCGUAAAGGGCGCGUAGGUGGUUGCGUAAGUGAGAUGUGAAAUCCCCGGGCUUAACCUGGGACGUGCAUCUUAUACUGCGUAACUGGAGUACAAGAGAGGGUAGUGGAAUUUCCGGUGUAGCGGUGAAAUGCGUAGAUAUCGGAAGGAACACCAGUGGCGAAGGCGGCUACCUGGCUUGAUACCGACACUAAGGCGCGAGAGCGUGGGGAGCAAACAGGAUUAGAUACCCCAGUAGUCCCUGUCUCUUAUAC